ensembl:lncRNA
UCUCCUUACUAAACUGAUUCAUGUAAUAAAUAUCUUUCACUUUUUGCCAUUGUUAGUUUUACAGUCCUUAAUAUUGAUGUGUUUAAACUUAUUUUGCAGGUAUUCUUUAGGUGAUGCUAGAAGGCCUCUUCAUGAAACAGCAGUUUUGGUAGAAGAUGUGGUACACACCCAGUUAAUUAAUCUGAAUGAACAAAAGAACUUUUCCUCUGGAUGCUUGGGAUCUUCCCCAUUUUAUGUUGAGUCUACAGCCGUUGACAAUCAACUUAUUAAAGGCCUUCUCAGCAGCCACUCUGCAGACUGCCCUGUGGAAACCUGGAUGAAAGCACACUGCUCUCUCUGAACAACGGUAAUCAUCUGCAUCUCUCCAAACUGGUAGUGAUGAUGUCUUAGAUCUGUCUCAGAAAUGGUAUUACCCAGACUACCAAUAUAUAGUGAGGAUAACCUUGUCCUCUGAUGGGUCCAGAUGGGGCAUGAUUGAAGCCUACUUUAGAUGCUUAUCUGUUUCUGGAUCAUUGAUUCCAUCAUAUUUGUGUGUAAUAUUCUGAUUGGCAAGGGGAUCAUCUAGAUCUAUAGGCUUCUUAUGUCUGCAUGGAUAUUCCUCUCCUCUCUUACACUCUUUUUUCACCCAGAAGGAGCAAAGGUGGGGCUUCUCCUUUGGUAGGAGGGUGUGGUCCAAGCUGGAUUGAGUAGCAUGUCACUGGUCAGUGUGGCUUUUUCCCCAGCAGGCAAACUGGCCAUGUUCCAUCAGAGCUAGAAAUCCCUGUUUCUGAUAUUCUACAUGUAGAACUCUUUUUUUUGGCAUCUUACUUUGGCAGGUCACCUUCAGAAGACAAUUCUGCAUCAUUAACCUGGAUGGGCAGUCUGUGCUUUAGGUCUUAAGAUUUAGGCCUAACAGACAUGCUUCAAUUUAUUGCAGGUUUGGCACACUUCUGUCUUCUUGAAAUGCAUGUGGACCCCAGAGCACAAGCAAAACACUGAAUAAUCUGGCACAAAUUUUGCGUUCCUUCCUGCUUUUUUCUUUGGCUAUUUAAUAUGUAUAGAUUUCUGCAAGACAUUCCUGGCACAGAACAAGAAAGUCCGUCCUCUCCCAGUUUUGCUUGUUGUAAGGUUGGGAACCCAGAGAGAUCACCAUCUUUAGAGCAUCUGAAGGCAGUGGUAGUUAUUGAGGUGGAAGAGAGGACCGCCACAAUCCUAUCAGACCCAGCCCCAAAUUUCAUGAUUUUUCUGCAAGAAUAAUGAAAUGGAUGACCUUGCAGUCCAGUUUUUUCAUAAGUGUCUUUAUCCAGUAUGAAAUUAAUUUCCGUAUUAAUGAUAGGUCUUUCUAAGAAGGGAGUGAGUUUGGAGAGAAGAAGAUACAAGGGGAGACUUUCAGUUUAUAUAAACCUGUAUGUCUUUUUAUACAGUAUAUAUAUUUUUAUCAUUAGAGAUAGAAGAAACAUGAGUGUUGGUACUAUUGUGUAAAAGAACAGCAGUAUUACCUUCAUCAAUAUUUGCAUUUGCAUAGCAGGAACCUUUGGGGACCCAUUGUGGCUAUAGUCACUUGUAAUUGUGACAGUGGAUCUCUUUGAGAUGUCAGUGGCAUGACUUUGUGUGGCCACAGUUGAAUUUCUCACAAAUCAGCAAGUGGCUGGGAGCCUCUCACAGCCUGCAUAGGGCUCCCUUGUGCCAGCCCUUCUUAAGCUAGGUGGGAUGCCCCCCUUUAUCACACCUCUUUCCUCUGCCUUUGCUUCUGUGGCAGCUCAAGAAAUUGUGAGCCAUCAUCACUUCUCCUGGAGGGCAUGGACUUCUCUCUCUCAGAGUUUCUGGGAAGCCAGAAAACUUAUGGCUGGGCUUGACACUUGUGUCCUGUAGCAAACUUCCUGACUAAAGCGGUGGCUUUCAAUUAGCAUGGUCCAUGAAACACCAGUAUUCAAAAGAAUGUUCAGGGAUACCUCCUAUUUGAGGAAGAGAAGAAAGUGGGGCUCUGAGAUCCCGGCCCCAAAUUCAACCUGAACAGUUCCUUUUUGAUCAUUUGUGUAUUGUAGAUUUCUGUCAGUCAAAAAUAUUUGAAGUCCAUCUUUGGUCAGUAUUAUCUUUUCAUCAUUUCACUAUGUAUAGGAUAACAAGUUCCACAAGAUUGAUGCCUGAUAUAUAUUAUACUACCCUCUUUUUGUCCUACAGCAUUUUUUUUCAGGAUCAGUUAUGUCAGUCCUUUUGGCUCCUCAAAAUUUUGUUUUGAGACUAUGGACAAAUAUAUUUCUAGCUCUUAUCUCCUGAUAGAUAUAUAUCAGAAUAGAAUAUAAUGCCUCAAAGUAGGUCCAGCUGUGUUUUUGACAAGGCUUAUUAUGAUACACUUUCUUUAAAAAAAAAAAAAAAAAACCUCCCUUAGUCAAUACAGAUUUUUAUAGAAUAUCUACUGUUGAUAUUUUGUUGAAUAUCAACUGCCAAUGAUAAUGGGCAUGUUUUAGAUCAUUUUGGCAGUAGGUACAUAUUGUUUCAUUGGGGAAUACUACAGUAAGACUGGCAAUAAACUACAUUUAGAAGUUUUUACUGAAAUCA